CAAAUAAAAAAUUAAAUAUAAUGUACAUCUUGAAAGACGCUCCGCGAAAGUUGUUUCGUGCAAUUUUAUUAUUAAAUCGAGUAUUUUAUGAGAUGUGGGAUGUUUUUGGUUACACGUGCCAUAGAGCUAAGGGAUAAAUAUUAACUAAAUUAUUGUUAUUUUUAUUAUGAUUCGUGAACAUCCUGUUGAACAUGUUGCUGACAUGCAAAUGCCGGAUAUUAUCAGUGCUUCUGCAGUGGGUAAUUCGUUGUCACUGGCCGACGCCGUUUUGGCAAACAACACGAACAUCCACCAAAAUUUCAUCAUUAUCGUCAAAAUUAUGCAUUAAAAUGAACAAUAUAAAUUUUGAGUAAU